UGUGGCUCUGUGGUAGAGUGCUUGCCUUGAAUGCAUAAGGCCCUGGGUUUGAUCCCCAGUA
rnacentral:tRNA from 1 species